CUAUCAGCGCCCGGGUAUUACGAGCUUAAGCUUAAAACCCAAAGGACUUGACGGUGUCCCACCCACCUAGAGGAGCCUGUUCUAUAAUCGAUACUCCCCGCUUCACCUUACCAUUUUUAGCCUCUCAGCCUGUAUACCUCCGUCGCAAGCUUACCAUGUGAACGCUCUUAGUAAGCCCAAAGGUUCUCUCACCAACACGUCAGGUCAAGGUGCAGCUCAUGAAAUGGGAAGCAAUGGGCUACAAUUUCUAAUGCAGAACAAACGAAAGACUACAUGAAACACAGUCAUGAAGGCGGAUUUAGUAGUAAAAAGAAAAUAGUGUGUUCUUUUUAACUAGGCACUGGGACGCGUACACACCGCCCGUCACCCUC
rnacentral:rRNA from 1 species